GUAUGCAAACCAGCUUGGCCUAGUCUGCUCAGCACAUACCAGGGAGAAAAGCACAGACGGAAACAAGUAGCAUCCGUUCCCCUCCCACUCGCAGCUGGUUGAAAGCCAAGAUGGCUGCAGCACUGGCUCAGCUCCCCUGUGGCUCCUUUCCACACCAGUUCUUCUUCUCCCUCUUGGUCCUGCAGUAUGGUCCAGCUGACAGUCAAUCUAACGUGAAAGUGAUUCAGCAACCUCCAUCUGAGAACCUGCUGCAAGGGAAGGCCCUGGAACUGAGAUGUUCUGUGAACCAAGAGAACUAUUAUUUCUAUUGGUACCGCCAAGUCCCGGGAGAGACCAAGCUACAAUCCCUUGGGACUUUCCGCACCUUUGAAAGCACAUUGCAGGAGCCAGCGGAUGAGCUCAAGGAGCGGCUGAGCGGGGAAAGGAAAAACAACGAGUGCAGUUUGAAUCUGGCAAGCCUGCAGUCGAGUGACAGCGGGCUGUAUCUGUGUGCUGCAAAGGACACAGUGAUUCUAGUAGGAGCAGCCACUGGCAGGAAACAGGGGACCAGGCAAUCGUAUGCAUCCGCAUGUAUACAGAUGUGCUGAGCAACAAGUGGCAGCAACACCCUACCUCUGUGGCCUCCACAUCUGGCUCCUUUUGGAGUUUUUUAUUUUUACUUCCCUGCUCCUAAAAGAUUUCAGUUUGUUGUUCAACUGAGUUGUACAGUUCAUAGGUC